ACAACAACAUUUGGAUCGUCCGUCUACCGAGCAAUAUCACCCACUCAGUGGAAAAUCUUCCCUUCGUCGUUUAAC
rnacentral:pre_miRNA from 1 species